GUAGCGGUGUGAGAAGGUGCAGCACUGGGACAUUUGGGAUAUACACGUAGGAGGAUAUGAGGAUCACGGACAAGCCUUCGAGAGAUCAGAGCUUUGAGACAAGGCGCACACCUCGAGCCAAACUCGGUUAGGGACGUUAACACAACGACGAGGGAAGCGAGGCCCUCGACGUCAACACCUCGCCUCUCCUAGACUUAUCCCGGAAUAAGAUAACAUUACCUGAUGAGGACCAAAAACGAAGGGGGAGUAGCUAACGUUGAAAACAAAAAAUCAAAAAAAUUCUUUAUGAAAACAAAAAACUAUCUAAAAAAAAUCGUAGACAAAAAACUAUCUACUAGAGCUAACGUUAAACGAAAGAGAUUUAAUACAGAGUCCGUGCACCCGCCCCGACCCUACCGGGUUGCAAGGCUCCGGGUCGACCAUCGUGAGAAAUGGCAGCUCCUCGUCCGUUUUAGCAGUUAGGACCCGCGACAGACAGUAGAAGCAGAGGCCGCAAAGAGUUUUUUAUUUUAUUUUUUUAAGAAGCAGAGGCCGCUCGUUUAGCCGCUGAUUCUUCCCCGUCCUACCCGAUGGAUACCGCCCACGCCGAGAGCAGCAAGCGCCGGCCACGUAGCUGCCGAAGUCGCCACCCCAAGAACGAGGAAAUGUUUCUGGUGGAGGACCGGGCGCGGCGGUAGCGGGCUGUCCACCUCCUACAGUUUUCUUAAAGACUUUUCGUGAUACUUCGUGACUUAGUAGUCUAGAGUCGAGACCUUUUGUCUUUUCUUAGUCCUUGAUUAUUUCUCCGUAGUCUAAUUAAUACGUGCAACCAACACAUGUUACCAAUUUGUUGACGGUUACAUUAAACACCAACGACGUACGCAUAAUGACGUCGUAAAUUCGACAUCAUGGUAAAACAACAAGUUUAACGAUACUUAGGAGUAACAGUAGAAGUACCGAAACACUCUACCUGUCUCUGGUUAUUCUUUGUUAAAACAGCAAUUACUCAGUCGGAUAGAGUAACAAUACAAACACUAGACAGAAGGUAGUUAUACAAGCGUUAGCUAUAUCGUUCAAAUAUAUGUGUUAAUGAUCAGACACACAACUCGUAAAAUAGUCGAAAGGACACUUAAAAUA
rnacentral:rRNA from 1 species